rnacentral:rRNA from 2 species
UUGACCUCAAAUCGGGUGAGACUACCCGCUGAACUUAAGCAUAUCAAUAAGCGGAGGAAAAGAAACUAACAAGGAUUCCCCUAGUAACUGCGAGUGAAGCGGGAAAAGCUCAAAUUUAAAAUCUGGUGGCUUCGGCCAUCCGAGUUGUAAUUUAGAGAAGCGUCUUCCGCGCUGGACCGUGCACAAGUCUCCUGGAAUGGAGCGUCAUAGAGGGUGAGAAUCCCGUCUUUGGCACGGACGCACCAGGGCUUCUGCGAUGCGCUCUCGAAGAGUCGAGUUGUUUGGGAAUGCAGCUCAAAAUGGGUGGUGAACUCCAUCUAAAGCUAAAUAUUGGCGAGAGACCGAUAGCGAACAAGUACCGUGAGGGAAAGAUGAAAAGCACUUUGGAAAGAGAGUGAAACAGUACGUGAAAUUGUUGAAAGGGAAACGCUUGAAGUCAGUCGCGUCGACCGAGACUCAGCCUUGCCUCGGCUUGGUGUACUUCUCGGCUGACGGGUCAGCAUCAAUUUUGCCCCUUGGAUAAUGGCGGGGGAAAUGUGACACCUUUGCGGGUGUGUUAUAGUCCUUUGUCGCAUGCAAGGGUUGGGAUUGAGGAACUCAGCA